rnacentral:rRNA from 1 species
UACAGAGGGUGCAAGCGUUAAUCGGAAUUACUGGGCGUAAAGCGCACGCAGGCGGUUGGUUAAGUCAGAUGUGAAAGCCCCGGGCUCAACCUGGGAAUUGCAUUUGAAACUGGCCAACUAGAGGACGUGAGAGGGGGGUAGAAUUCCAAGUGUAGCGGUGAAAUGCGUAGAGAUUUGGAGGAAUACCAGUGGCGAAGGCGGCCCCCUGGCACGAUACUGACGCUCAGGUGCCAAAGCGUGGGGAGCAAACAGG